rnacentral:lncRNA from 1 species
UCAGUAGAAUUUCCUUCGGUUUCAGCUUGUGUGUGUUGUUUGCUUUUGAGUCAGGUGAGUGGAUAAUUUUCCAUAUGCAUGAGAAAUAUUAUAAAUAUUUGAUUUGUUAAUAUGAAUUGGAUCAUGCUUCUUGAUAAUAUAUAUGCUGAUUAUUAUCCUUGAUAUGAUAAAGCAUGAUCAAUUAUUGAAUCUGAUUUCUUGAUAUGAACCAAUAUGAUUUGACUUCUGAAUUGAUAGCUCCUCAUUUGAUGGAUGUCAUGAGUUGAGCUUUGAGAUAUGAAUAUGUUUGUUUGAUUAUGAUUAUGAACCUAUGGUAUGUCAGUCAGAAUACCCAUGCUAACAGGGUAGUGUUAGUCUUUGUGCACAUCGUAUCUGAACCCUAGUUGGUCGGGGGAGUCACCAACCUGUGUGGACUGAUCAUCCCACAGUACGGAGCCUCAUGCUCAUUGCAUUUUGAUUUUCUGACGAGUUUUACCAUAUGAUAUUCUUGUUAUGGCCUAUUUGAUAAACUUUAUAAGAACUAAAGCCAUACUUGUAUAUAUAUUUCUCAUUGUUAUAUUACCUCGUAUGUGUAUAUUGAAUGUUAUCUACUCACUGAGUUGUUGAACUCACCCUCUCAUUAUUUAUCCUUUUCAGGCUUAUAGCUUGAUAGCAGGUUACUUUUGUUGAACCUUCCGAACCUGCCUUUUGGUUGUAAUUUGUACCUUCCUUUUGUGUCAAGUUAGUGCUCCAAAACUAUGAAAUUAUUAACUCUUGUAUUAAGACAAUCGAAUUAUAUUAUGAAGUUGUUUGUUGUUAAUUCUGCGUUAAACUCUGAUUGAGUUGUUUAAAGGAUUGUAUGUAAGUUUGGGUUCGCAUAGGUUUGGAACCUUGGAGGGGAACCUUGCCUAUGUGCCGGUCAUGGAUCCGGGAUUCGGGUCGUGACAAACUUGGUAUCAGAGCUUUAGGUUAAAGAAACAAUAAUAUAAUUAAUUUCAUAAUAAGUGGAGCAUUAGGAUCCGUAUCGUCUUGUUUGUUGUUUUUGACAUUUUAAAUUCUCAUCAAGUAUGUCUUCUUCCUUGUGAUAGAUAUGCUUUCCUAUAGUUCUGUGAUAAUUAUCAUGCUAUUGUUCUAGCAUGACUUAAGUGAUCUCUCUUUUAUUUUAGGAAAUGUCGAGGAAUAGACGAAGAACUGAUACUCUUAGGGUAGAUGAUGAUCAGGAUGAUGUCCCUAUUAUGCAGUUGAUAACUGCAAGGCAGAGAAGGAGGCGUGGUGCACCCGUGCCUCAACAUGUUGAUGAGGUACCUCCACCAGUGGAGGAAGAGCCUCAGGAGAUAGAAGAGGAAGAUAUGGUUGAUGAAAUAGGUGUGG